rnacentral:lncRNA from 1 species
UUUUUUUUUUUUUUUUUUUUUUUUGUAAAAAUGCUUUUAACAAACAACAGUGUCUGAAUGUUUGGUAAACUUUUAUAUAAAUUGUUGUGAAUAUGUUAAAUGAUUAAAAAAGAUAUGGUAUUUAAUGUGAUAUAAUUACUGUCAAAGACAAUAAUGUAGGUGCAAAGAUUGUGAUUUUGUAAAAUAUGUGGAGGGUAUACUUGUCAUUUGAAAAUUUCAUUAAAUGGGCAUUGAUUACUGUGGUUUGAAAAAAUAAAAACAUGUCAUGGUCUACCAUGCUUUUGCUUUUCUACUGUCAUUGACAAAAGUUAUUUGAAAAAACAAUUUUUUUGUUUUGUUUUGUUUUUCCAAACACUUUUGAUGUUCUAGAUUUUUUUUAAUAAGUUAUUUUAAAAAAAAAAACCACAACAAUACCAAACUAGCUCUAAAGAUCAUCACACGAUCUCUUUUUUAUAAUCAUUUGUUCGUAAGAAAAAAUUUCUAUAAGAAAGUUUGAAGCAAUAUAUUGUAAUUAGCUGAAAAAACAGUACCUUUAGUCGCAGCAUAUACACUUCCAAUCCCUGCAACUGAUACACCCCAGCAAUAGAUGAUACAAAAACAAUGUUACCAGCUCCUGAAGCUUUCAGAAGAGGAUGCGCAAAUUGGGACAGAUUGUAAGCAGAUUCAAGAUUUGUAGUUGUAACAAAUGCGUAAUCUUCAGCUGUGCAAUCAACUGUUGGUUUUGAUUCGGAAGUUCCCACAUUGUUUAUCUACAGGCAAACAUUGGGGAGCACGAUGAUUAGCUAGCUGAUAGCCCAAGUGUUCAUGAAAUGCUAGAAGUGGAUUUUUAGGUUCACGUACGUAGAAGCUAAAUUCAUAAAUUAAAAAAAAGGAUAUAUAUUGCAGACAUGCUACGACUUUUUAUAUUAUUCUAGAUUAAAUUCAUGAAGUUUUUCUUGUCCGUUUUCAAAAUAAAACCAUGUAGUCCACUAUGCGUUGCUUAUAAUGGAGUUAUUGCAAUUGAGUUAGGAAAGGCACAAUAAUGACUCAUAGAAUGGAGAAAUCUCUCUAGUGUGCACCAUAUUCAAGUGGGUACUCCACAUAUCAUAAAAUAAGUGGAGAAGCAUGAAAACAUAUAUCAUUUACCCCAUUGUAUUAUGAUAUUUGGCAUGCCGCUUGAAUACCCAGCACUUUGAAGAAAAAAAAUUAUUUAGUCAAAUUAUAUAUCUUGUAAUCAACUUUUGUAUCUUAUUGUUAAUUUUGGAUACAUUGUUCAUUGUUUUCAUAUAAAACAUACACUUAUAUAUUAAUAAGGAUAAGUAUAAUAGUAUACUACAAAAUUAAUUAAAUUUAUACAUAAGCAUUAAGAAUGAACAAUAAACUGAAGGUACGCAAAAGUUAAAAAAAUAUUCGAAAACUUAUAUAAAAUAUGAAUUUUCAAAUUAUGUUCUAAAAUUUUCAUAAUUACCGAAUUCUGAUAUUUCCAAAUAUGCCUAAAAUUCUGAAUUUAAAAAUUGUAAUCCGGUCCAAUUCCGAAAUUUCGAAACGGAAAUUGAAAACAUUAUUUUCGAUCCUUGCAAAAAACACCCUACGAGCACCAAGAUGAUGAAACAUUAAAAUCCCUUCAUUAAUUAGUUAGGACUACAAAUGAAUGACAAAUUAAUUACAGGGGUACACUAGUAAUUCAACCUUAAUUUUUAAAUUGAAGAAUCCCACAUAUUGGAACAAGUUUGAAAUACUUUGGAAAAAUUUGAAUCGGAAAUUCAGAAUUCUCGAAAUCUUUAAAUGCUUUCCGAUUUUCCAAUUUUUCACAAAAUAUUCGGAUUUAGAAAUUUCAGGUUCGAAUUUGGAAAUCUUAGUGUUGGAAUUAGAAACAACAUUCUAAUUUGCAGCCCUAGAUGAUCACUUUAUAUAAAGAAAUAAUUUUUUUUUGUUUUUGCUGAUAUAUGGAAGAUAAAGUUAUUUUAAUGAAUAUAUAUCUUUCUUUUUUUUUAAUAAUUCAACAAAUUUUUUCCAAUAAAAGAAUUCCUUUAUUGAGUAUUAAGCAUGGAGGUCUGGAGGGGAACCGAACGGGAUUCUCACCUGUCUUUGAUAACAGCAUUAUCUUAUCUUUUGAAAACAGAAAUAUUAAUAUAUUAGUAUUAUCUUAUCUUUCAUAAAAGAUAAAAACAGAAAUAUUAAUAUAUUAUCAUAUCUGUUGAAAAAGCAGACUGAUAAUAUUAAAAAUAGGAUGAAAUGCCGAUUUAGUCUCUGAACUAUUACUUAAGUGAAAAUUAGAUUUCUGAAUUAUUUUUUCAGUAAAUAAAGUCUCUAAAUUCAUUAAAAAUUGCUAAUUUCAUCCCUACUAUUAUAUUCAAAGCUAUUUUGUCCAAUUUUUCUUCAACUUAAGUCACUUGACACACUUUAGAGUGUAAUACCGUCAUUUUCUUGCCUAUAAGCCCUUCACAUUUCAUAUAGGUUGUAAAUAUAACAUCUAAUUUACCCUUUAAAGUUAACUUACAUUAUUUCUUAUGAAAAACUACCAAUUUACCUUCCAAAGUUAACUCCAUACACUAUUUCUUUAUGGAAAACUACCAAUCUACCCUCUAAUGUGUAUCACAUGUAAGUAACGUGACUUAAAUUGAUGGAAAAUUGAAUAUAGUAGCUUUGAAUAUAAUAUUAUGAAUGUAAUUGGCAGAUUUUUAUAAUACAAGAACUAAUUUUUCUGAAAAAAUAAUUUAGGAACCUAAUUUUCACUGAUGUGAUAAUUCAGAGAUUAAAUUGGCAAUUCACCCUUAAAAAUAAUCUCUUUCGUUUCCCCUUUCCAUUAUCAAGCGAAAAGAAGAUAAUGCUAGUGGGAGUAUUAAUUUAAGGAAUUAUUAUUGGCAUUCUAAAAAUCUCAUUUUUCACUUCAAAUUUUCUAUAAUUAGAAAGAUAAAUACACUUGGGAGGAGUGUAUAAUAAGAUUUGUGGAGUGCUAAUAAUAGUUCCCUUAAUUUAAAUCAAAUUUGUAAUCUAUAUGACAUGGUUAGUGAUGAUUAGAUUAUACUUAACUAUUAAUUAACGUGUUUAUUUCUUAUUGGUGACACAUCACAUGGUUUGCAAAUUUGGCUAAAAAAAAUAUUAUGUACCAUUUUGUUUGACGACAACAAAGUUAAUGAGGUAUAAGUUUAUUUAUACGUGUCAAUGAAUAAUAGAGGCCAUAGAAAUGUUAUAAACAAAAUGAGUGCAUAAGAUUUGAACAAAAAUAAUUGAUCUUCCUAGUAUUACUCUUACCAAAAAAGGAAAAAUGCACAUUUUAUCUUUAGAAUUUAAAAAAAUAAAUAUUUAAAUUAAAUACUUAUAUAUAUUUAAUAUAAUUACUCAGAUAACGCCUGUAUUAAAUACAUAUAUAUUCACAAGAAACCCAACUAAACUUUAACGUAAUAAUGAAUGACUUUGGUUUCCUUUCUCUAGCUCAAGGUUUGUGCAUGCAUUGCUGAGUUUCAACUAAUAAAACAGCUAUUUACAACAAUUAAAAAAAAAAAUCUCUAAUCAAACGAAAAAUGUUAAACCUAAAACUAAUUAGUAGGUAUUUGAGUUUCAUCAUGACUUUAUUUUCUAUAAACUAUUAGUACAACAAAUUAAACUGAGAAAUUAAUUAAUAAAUAUAGAGUACUUACAAGGAUGUUAAGUUUUCCGUUAAAUUGUGAUGAGAUCUUGUUUAUUAACUCCUCCCUUUGUGCUCUUGAAGACACAUCACAGAUUGAACCAGUGACUUGAUGAAAACCCUUGGCCUUCCAUUGACUCAAGCAGUCAUCCAGCUGCCCUUGACUCCGAGAGCAAGUAUGAACAGCUGCACCUAGCCCCGCCAGUUCCUCCACAAUAGCACACCUAAUAAUAAACACAUUACGUACAUUUAUCGCAGUGUAAAGAUCCAUUACACGCUUUUCCAAAAAAAAAAAAAAAUAGAUCCAUUACACACUCAUCAAAUCUCUUCUCUCAAACUUUCUAGCAACGUUAGGUUAGACAAAGAUACACUGGUGCUCUGAAAUUUUUAACCGCCAAAUCUUAUUUUCUUUUGUUUUUACCAAAGAUCCAGCACUUAAAAGAGACAAUCCAGAGUACUGUAGAAUAUCUAGGUUAGAAAAUGGUUGUGUUGCUAGUCGCUAGAUUUGGUCAGUAAAAACGCAUAAACAUGUUUAAAUGGAAAUGUGGAACAACGGGUAUGGCCUCUGGGUAAAAAAAAACUGCCUUAUUUGUUAGGGUUGUAGAGUUCAAAAUUUGUGUCAUUGGUAUCUAUGGUAUCAAUUGAUUUUCUUGCUCUGUAUCAACCAAAAACUGGAAUGAAAUAGCAAUGUAGAUGCACUUAUCAGCUGGGAAAACACAAACGUGAGUGACAAAAAGUAAAGAGAAGACUAACCCCAUCCCUUUGGUUCCACCAGUGACAAGAGCAGUCUUUCCCUCAAGAGACCAUCUGCGACCUCUGCCAUUGAUCUCUGCAUUCGCCAUCUCUCUCUCUCUCUCUCAAUUCAUCCCACUUCCAUCCGUGCACUUUUUAUAUUAGAAAUGAACUAGUUACUUGUUAUAAUGUACCGUAAAACACGUGCUAACACAUGCAAAACACAUGAAAAGUGCAUGCGCCUAAAUUUGAGAUAUACUCUCUCUCUCUCUCUCUCUCUCUCUCUCUCUCUCUCUCUCUCUCUCUCUCUCUCUCUCUCUCUCUUACCUUUUUUGUGGGGGAUUCUAUUCUCUGCAUCACUGCAUGUAAAAUUACAACUAGAUUUUUUUGUGGGGGACUAUUCUCUGCAUCACUGCAUGUAAAAUUACAACUAGAUUUUGAAAAUUUAAAUCAUCACAACUUCAUUUACUCUAUAAUCUUGCUCAACUUAGAGAGAAAAAAUUUAAAUCUAAACCUUCCUCAUGGCGACAGUAUUAUGUGAUUAUAUGAUCAGCCUAAAUUGUCUAACAGAAGUGUUUUUAAAAGUCAUCUGAUAGAAGUGUUUCUUGAACUCAGAGCCAAGUGUGACAACUAUGUAUGUUUCAUUUUCUUUGAACCUCACACUAGCUUAUGCGUACUAAUUCAUAAUUUUUUUAUUUACGAGUUAAUUAAUUGAAUAUACAAUGUGCCAAAUAAUUAUUAUUUUUUCACUUUCUUACCUUAAUAGCACUGUGAAACUAAAUAAUUUGAAGGGGAAUAUUAGCAAGCUUAUCACUUAGAUCUUUUUUUUAUAUUUUUGGCUUUUCUUCUCAUGUUGCAAUAUUACUUGAUGAUCGAAAUAUCUAUCAUGUAGACCACUUUUUCAGAAAUAAUUCCCAUCAUGAAGCAACAUUGUAUAAUAAAAAUGAGACAUAAAAAGUAAAAUGAGAAGAUUAAAGUGAUAUAGCUCGCAUCCCUCAAAUCUAAACAACACCUUCCUGUUGAAUAAAACGUGACUAGCAUCCCUCAAAUCUGAACAGCACCUUGCUAAGCGUGACAAAUCGAAAUCGAAAUUCUACUCAAUAUCCAAUUUUUUAUUCUGGUUUUAUAGGGACAAACUAAAUCGCAUUGAUUCGCUUUGUUUAUAAAAAUCUGAUUAUGACCUGGCUGUUUAAAGAAACAAAAGAAAGAGACCCGGCUAGCUUUUUAUUCUACCGACAAAGGUCGCAAAAUCCAAUCUUCUUUUUUUAAGAGUAACGGAUCGUAACUUUUCUUUGCCAUUUCUAAUUUAGUUUAGAAAAAAACAUUGGCUCCCUUGGAAUUGCAAAAACAAUAGUAUAUAAUGUAUCAUAUAAGAGCUUUUUCAGUGUUUUUGGAAUAUAAUUGAAUAUACUAUAUGUCAUGGUAUAAAGGUGAAAUGUUUAAAAUUAUUUCUCUUACCACUUGUGUUAUGUCGUAUAUAAUGUAGUAGUUCAUGUUCUAGAAAUACUACAAAAUUCUCAUAGUAUACCAUGAUAUAUUUCUUCUCUUUCUUGAGAAGUUUUUCCAGGUACCUGUCACAUACGCUGACUGGGAAUUCCAUGAACAUUUGAUAUCUGUAUAUUUUAUUCUUGUAAAUUUAAAAAUUGACAAAUAUUUUAAAAUAAACUCAAAAAUGACAUCAAGGUCUCCCGAGCAUGACGACGACGCCGAACCACCCGCACCCACCUUCAUCACCGGUCGGUGAUUUUUCUGGCAUCAUCAUCCUUCUCCCUGUUCGACUUUCUCUUUCUUUCCUUUCCCCUCUCUCUUCUGCUCUUACCUCUACAUGGAACCCAGAGAUUGACGGCGGCAACCCAACUCAGAUAUGCUGUCGUCAAUCUCGAUCUAUCAGCCGGAGUUCGCCGACAUCGUUUUUGUUCUUACUCUGGAGCAGGAAAGAGAAGAAAUAAAAAAGGGAAGAGAGAGAGAGAAAGACAGAGAUAGGGAGAGAGAUGAUGCGGAAGGGCAGGAUGGGUGGACUGGUGGAACCGUGGAGGGAUGGAGAAUGGGUAUGGGGGAUGGGGAUGCGGAUGGGAGAUGGAGAAAUGGGUAUUUUCGAUUUGCAGGAAAGCGUUGGAGCUCACCCCACAACUUCGAUUUUUUUUUAAUUAUUUAACUAUUUUGUGAAAUGAAUAUAAGGGUAAAAUGGGUAUUUUAGUGUCACUUAAGAAGUAGAAGGAUAGGUGUCAGAUGCUUAUUAGUGGGGAACUCCAAGUCAGCAUAAUAAAUUGAUAUUAAACUCAUUAUUUCCAAGAGUUAAACUCAAAAUCUCAUUUCUUAGGUGGAUAGUACUAAUGGCGAUUAGCUUAAAAUAUGAAAGAAUGCAACACAUGAAGAAUUGGAAAUUAAGGUAUCGUUUGGUACGCAGAUGGGACGAGACGGAACCGGAUGAGACUGAACGGAAUGGGACGGGACGGGACGGGACAGGACGGGACGAAACGGAGAGGGAGCAAAGAUGCCCUCGGAUGGAAACAAAGAGGAAGAAAAAGGAGACGGAGAUUUUAUAAUUUUGUGUUCCACGGAUGUAGAACGAGUCGUUCUAGGGGUGAGGUGGAACGAAAAUUCACCCAAAAUUCGUCUCGUGGAACAGCGCGUUCCAUCCGUUUUAGGCCCACCAAACGUGAAACGGAACGCCUCGUCCCAUCCCAUUCCGUUCCUGUUCCACGUACCAAACGGUACAUAAAGAACCGUUAUUUCAAAGAUACUUUUGGAACAGGAAUACAAAUGGAAAAUAUUAGAGUGGGAGAGAACUUGUGUGUUUACAGUCCCACAUCAAGAGUGAGAUCGAUGACUUUUUGGUUUAACUUUUGGCAAAUAGAUAUGUCAUUGAGACUAUUGUCUGAAGGCAUACAAUUCUACCUUGUAUUUUUUUUAAUGCAAUCUGUUGUUAAUGGUCAAACGAUAAGUUUAAUACUCACACGAUGAUGCGUAAGAAUCUCGGCAACAGGUGGGAUGAAACUAUGCUCCGUUUGAAAAUAUUUUUUUAUUAAAAGUAUUUUUUCUUAGAAGCGGUUUUAUUUUAGGGAACUUUAACGAAAAGCACCCGGUACUAUUCACUUUAACGAACAACCACAUUUUUACACUAAAAAGUCAAUCAUGGUACUAUUCACUUUACCCUUUAUUUUGUCCUUAUCAUUAAAACUUAAAAUUUUCAAGCCCUUUUCAUUAGUUUUCUUUUUAUUUUAACCAUAUCGAAUUUUUUAAUAUAAAUACAAGUGUUUUUUUUUUGUUUUUUUUUAAGAUUUCAAAAAUUGCAUAGCACGUGCUUAAUCCAGAAAACUGUUCAAGUUCUCUUUAAACCCAGAGACAUUUUGAACUAUUUUUACUUAACAUCAUCAUAUUUAAAAGAGCUUUAGUUCUUUCAAAUACACUUUCAAUUGGAAACCGCCCCCUAUAACAAGCUAGACAUAUGAAGUUAUGAGAAUACUUGAAGAGCAAGUUGUCCAAAUCAUCUUUAGGUAAUCUUUGGAGGGGUCAGUUGAUGUUGCUUAAAGGGUUUUUGUAACAUCUCUCGUCUAAGUUCACCUCAGCACUUAAGUUUAGUUAUUUUUUAAUCUUUAAUUGCACGAAAAGAAAAAAAAGGACAUAUUACAUUAACGUAAUAAGCAAUGGUGAAGUUAGAAUUUUCAAAUAAUAGGAUCAUUAUAUCAACUAAAAAAGCUUCAUUGGACUAUUUCAUCAAGCACCUAGUAGGCAUCUACCAAUGCCUACCAACACAUACUAAAAGCUUAGGCUAACGUAUGUCGACAACUACUAUUAUUUUAUAGGCUUGUCAAUGGUGAAUGCAAGAUACCGCGGAGUAAUGUUGAAGAUUGUUAAGGCUUGUCAACUAAGAUAUUUCAUCGAGCACAUGAUGGUCACAAUAGAGUCGCACACAAGAAGAGAGAAGGAAGACAAAUGUGAUAGAAUAAAGUAGAAAAAAAAAAAGUGGGAGGAGGAGGUUGUAAAUUUUGUUUGCCUUAGUUGUUUAUAGGGGUCAAAUACAAUACACAAACAAAUAUACAUGAAGGUUUUUAAGUUGUUGAUAUCAAGAGCAACCAAUGAUCCUAUGUUGACUUUGUCUAGUACGACCUAAUGCUUGAAGUUCGAACAUGUUAUAGAAGCAUUUUUUAUUGUUCUGAUCAUACAUGUCGAUCAUUUUCAAUGAACUGGCGAUCUCGAUGGUGCUCUUUGGAGGAUGUUGGAGUCUUCUCUUCAUCAGGUUUGGAGGCCGUGUUUGGCGUGAUCUCAGGCAUCUGUUGGGACGAUGGUUCGAGAUGGUUGGUUGGUGGCGUUCUGGCGGUUGCGGAGGGUAGCAAGUUGCUGGAGUUUGUUGCGGUUUUUUCUUUUAUGGUGGCCUCACACUUUUGUUUUGGGCCAUUUUUGCUUUACUCUGGAGGUCCACGUCUAUGUUGUGUGCUUAUUGUGAUUGAGUCUCUUUCUUUGUAAGGCUUUUUAUUCAAAAUGGUUCAUGAGAUUUGCAUCAUCCAUAAGUUUGGUCCUUAAGAUUUAAAAUCAAUAGAAGUAGCCCUGAGAUUGUCCACCAUCCAUGAUUUUGGUCCUUCCGCUGAAGCUUUUGGCCGGAAGUUUGGGCAAUUUUUAAAGCUUCGUAACUCAAUCGUUUCUUAACCAAAUUCGACCCAUAAUAUAUCAAAAUGAAAAUAGGAAAGUGUAAAAUAAGAUUAUAUCUAUUUGGAAGCUCAAUGAUUGCCAGAGAUGGUCAGAAAAUAGCCUCAAAGUUGACUGGUCCGAAGAAAAACUGAAAAACUUGCCGGUAACUUGCCGAAAAUUAGGUAAACUUUAAACGUUCAUAACUUCUUCAAUACUCAACGAAAUCAAGUGAUUCAAAAACAAAAAUCAUACUUUUCAACGAGAAGAAGAGAAUGUUACCUUUUUCAACGGCUAACUUGUCGUGGUUUGGCCGUAAAAUGGCUCGAAAGUGUCUGUUGAAAAGGGUACCAUUCUCUUCCUCUCGUCGAGAAGUAUGAUUUUUGUUUUUGAAUCACUUAAUUUUGUUGAGUAUUGAAGAAGUUAUGAACAUUUAAAGUUUACCCAGUUUCCGGCGAGUUUUCCAGUUUUCCCUCAGACCAGUCAACUUUGAGGCUAUUUUCCGACCAUCUCUGGCAACCAUUGGGAUUCCAAAUAGAUAUAAUCUUAUUCUAUACUUUCUUAUUUUCAUUUUGAUAUAUUACAGGUCGAAUUUGGUUAAGAAAUAAUUGAGUUACUAAGCUUUGAAAAUUGCCCCAACGUCUGGCCAAAAGCUUCAACGGAAGGACCAAAAUCAUGGAUGGUGGACAAUCUUAGGGACCAAACUUAUGGAUGAUGCAAAUCUCAAAGACCAUUUUGAAUAAAAAGCCUCUUUGUAAUUAUAUUGUCUUGGUAAUGAUUUUAUCCUUUAAACAAACCAAAAAAUAAAAAAAAUAAAAAAUCCAGGCUUGGAAGCUCUUCUACUAGAGUGAAACGAAAUGUCAAUAUACCAUAUGGUUGGCAAUCUUUUACUUAUUUAAUUAGAAAUUAAUGUCACCUAUUUUCAAAUACAAUUAAAGCACACCACUUUGGAAUUAGAUACGAGAUUUUAUUUUUCCAGACCUGCAACACUGUCUCUAUGACUGCAUAUGCAAUUAUGUAUACAUGCAUAACUGUUUCCAAGUCAUGCUCCUUGGAAGAGCAAGCCAUUGACGGUCACCCCGCCGUCUACGAUAAUAGUCUGCCCAGUAAUGUAAGAGGCUGCAGGUAGGCAUAGAAAUGCUACCAAGGAAGACACCUCCUCUGGCUCUCCAGGACGUCUUAAAGGGCAUCGAGAGUUUAUCAUCUCCAAUUUCUUUUCAUUUCGGAGAACCUGCAUGCAUAGAAGAGAUAAUGGAUGAAAAGAGAAUGGAUGUGUAGGACACAUAUAUUAGCGACGAUCUUAAAAAUUGGUCAAGCUAUUCGUAAACAAAUUAAUUAAGACUAGAUGUAUGAUCUAAACUUGCUGUAAACUUUUCACCGAAAAACUUGCUGUAAACAAGUCAGGUCUAAGAACCUAUACAGACAUAUGGACUUUCGGCAAAACCCAACUUUUUAUUCUAAUUUUGACCAUAGGUUUUUGGCAGACUCAUUAACGAAAUACGGAUUAGCUUGAAGUUAUGAGAUGAUUGUAAUAUAAGAAGUUAAAACAAUUCACUCAUGUAUCUUAAAUGUGGUUUUGAUUUUCUUGCCGCUACAUCGAUUGUAUUUAAAAAAAAUAAAAAUAAAAGGCAUGCACAAGAACGUGAUCCAAAUAAUCUUACAGGUUCAGAGAGGGGAGUCGUGAUGAACCAAGGCGCCACACUGUUGGUCCUUAUAUUAUCCUUCGCCCACUCACAUGCUAAGUUUUUUGCUAACUGAUUCAUUGCGCCUGAGAUGCAAUAAAGAAAAGCCACACUUUGGUCUAACAUUAAAAAUACACACCAAAAACAGCGUAAUCAAAUUUUAGGUUAGUCUAAAAGUGAUAUAAACAAUGUAUGAUACUUUUCAAUUUUUUAAUCUGAUUUAAGGUGUUAGUCUAAAAGUGAUAUUUAGAUUUGAAUGAAUUUUUAACUAAGUAUAAACAGUAUAUGAUACUUUUCAAUUUUUAAUAAAAGUCGAAAUCUAUAUAAGAAAAUUAACUAUAAGCACCUUUAGCAGCAGAAUAUAUAGAUGCACCAUUUAUUGAGACCACACCAGCAGUAGAGGACAGAAAAACAAUGUUAGCAGCUCCUGCAGCUUUGAGAAGAGGAUGUGAAAGUUGGCAAAAGUUGUAAGCGGAUUCAAGAUUGGUACUCAUUAUGAAUGAGUAAUCUUCGGCUGUGUACUCUACCGUUGCUUUCGCUUCGACAAUCCCCACAUUGUUUAUCUAUAACAAGACAUUAUUGAAAAGGUUUAGCAUAGCAUAACGAUUUUAGUUUAUAUGUAUUAUUGAAAAAUACAUGAAAAUUAUGUGUAUUAAACGUAAAAAAGUACAUCUUUGAGUUUUAAAAAACGUACAAUUUUACAAAUUAUUGAAAUUUGAAAUGUGUACAACAAACAUAAUUAUUUAUGAGAGGAUGUUUAGUUUGUCUUGAAAGUGUGAUGAUGGUUAUUCAUGAUUCAUGCACAUAUGUUGUUUCAACUGAUCAGUCUUCUACUUACAAGGAUGUUGAGUUUGCCAUCAAAAAGUGAUGAGACCUUGUUUAUAAGCUCCUCUCUUUGGGUUUUUGACACCACAUCACAGACUGAGCCAGUGACUUGAAAACCCUUCUUCUCCCACUGACUCAGGCAGUCAUUAAGGUCAACUUCAUUUCGGGAACAAGUAUGCACAAUUGCACCCAGCCCUGCCAAUUCCUCCACUAUCGCAUACCUAAAUAAAACUUUACUAAUUUAACAUAGAGCAAUACAAAAUAAUUCAAACCCAUAAUUCUAAAACAGAAGAAAACACGGGACAAGUGGAGAAAUAAAGAGAAUAUUGCAUUGGAUGUAUAGGAAAAUUAAAACUAACAGAAGAUUAAUGUUCUUAAGUAUCCAAAUUUAGAGAAGCUAACCCAAUUCCUUUGGUUCCACCGGUGACAAGAGCUGUCAUUCCACGUAGAGACCAUGUCCUCUCUCUGCUAUUCAUCUCUAUCUGCUCUCUAAUCUUCCUGUCUGCUCUCUAAUCUAUCUUUAUGCAAAUACUUUGUGGUUUCGGUUAUAUUUCUUUUCGAUAGGAUAACUAUUGUAUAUUUUGGCGGCCAGGGAAAGGUACGCGUGCCAUCUGUUCAUUCAGCAACUUGCAACAUUUUGGUUGCUUGUUUUGACGUGGCAAACUAAUGCAAAUUGAUUGUCCAAUUUGAAUUUGACUAAAUUAUAUUUCAUCCAAUUUCAACAUCUUACAAUGACUGUCUAUUUCAUACAACUUUCGAUUCAAUCGUUACACAGUGAUUCAAUAAUUCAGGACGAAUUCUAAUCUCAUAUUCUAUAAAGCUCGUUUUGAAUUUGAUUCGUGACACCGAUGAAUUAUACACUAUAAAGAAUUGAAGUUUAAAGAACACUAUUUCAACAAACUUUUGGAACUAGAAAGCAAAGAUACUUUUGGAGCUAGAAACAAAUGGAAGGUAUUACGGUUCGUCCUGAACGAGAUCGAUGUCUUUUCGGUUAAUUUUUCAGCAAAUAGACAUGUCAUUGAGAGUAUUGUUUAAACCCAUAAACAUUUUGAACUAUUUUUACUUAACAUCAUCAUAUUUAAAAGGGCUUUAGUUAUUUCACUAGCACUUUCAAUUGGAAACCGCCCCCUGUAACAAGCUAGACAUAUGAAGUUAUGAGAAUACUUAAAGAGCAAGUCGUCCAAAUCAUCUUUAGGUAAUCUUUGGAGGGGUCAGUUGAUGUUGCUUAAAGAGUUUUUGUAACAUUUCUCGUCUAAGUUCACCUCAGUACUUAAGUUUAAUUAUUUUUUAAUCUUUAAUUGUACGAAAAGAAAAAAAAGGGACAUAUAACAUGAAUGUAGGGUCAUCAUAUCAACUAAAAAAGCUUCAUUGGAGUAUUUCGUCGAGCACCUAGUAGGCACCUACCAAUUCCUGCCAACAUAUACCGAAAGCUUAUGCUAACGUAUGUCGACAACUAUUAUUAUUGUAGAGGCUUGUCAAUGGUGGAUGCAAGAUGCCGUGGAGUAAUGUUGAAGAUUGUUAAGACUUGUCAACUAAGGUAUUUCAUUGAGCACAUGGUGGUCACAAUAGAAUCACACAAGAGGAGAGAAAGAAGACAAAUGUGAUAGAAUAAAGUAGAAGAAGUAGGAGGAGGAGGUUGUAAAUUUCGUUUGCCUUAGUUGUUUAUAGGGGUCAAAUAUAAUACGCAAACAAAUAUACAUGAAGGUUUUUAACUUGUUGGGUCAAGAGCAACCAAUGAUCUUAUGCUGACUUUGUCACUGAUAAUAAGAUCCCUGUCUUAAUUUUUUGCUAAGAACAUAAAAAAUCUUGUAUCGUUGAGUAUUGAUAGGAACAUGUCAUCAGCCUUGUUGUAUCUUUGAGGGGCCAAGGAAAAAGAUGAUGUGCAAUGCUUCUUGAGGAGUUUUGUUGUUUCUCAAUAAAAUCUAGUCAUUUGAAUUUCUUGCUUCUAGUACUACCUAAUGCUUGAAGUUUGAACAUGUUAUAGAAGCAUUUUUUAUUGUUUUGAUCAUACAUACAUGUCGAUCAUUUUCAAUGAACUGGCGAUUUCGGUGGUGCUCUUUGAGAUGUUGGAGUCUUCUCUUCAUCAGGUUUGGCGUGAUCUCAGGCGUUUGUUGGUGGCGUUCUAGCGGCGGCGAAGGGUAGCAAGUUGCUAGGGUUUGUUGCGGUUUUUUUCUUUUGGGUGGUCUCAAACUUUUGUUUUGGGCCAUUUUUGCUUUACUCUGGAGGCCUACAUCUAUGUUGUGUGCUUAUUGUGAUUGAGCUUCUUUCUUUGUAAUUAUGUUGUCUUGAUAAUAAUUUUAUCCUUUAAAUAAACAACAAAAAAAAAUUUUCCAAACUUGGAAGCUCUUCUACUAGAGUGAAACGAAAUGUCAAUAGACCGAAUGGUUGGCAAUCUUUUAUUUACAUAUUAAAUUAUAAAUUAAUGUCACCUAUUUUCACAUACAAUUAAAGCACACCACUUUAGAAUUAGAUACGAGAUUUUAUUUUUCCAGACCUGCAGCACUGUCUCUACGACUGCAUAUGCAAUUAUGUAUCCAUGCAGAACUGUUUCCAAGUCAUGCUCCUUGGAAGAGCAAGCCAUUGACGGUCACCCCGCCGUCGACGAUAAUAGUCUGCCCAGUAAUGUAAGAGGCUGCAGGUAGACAUAGAAAUGCUACCAAGGAAGACACCUCCUCUGGCUCUCCAGGACGUCCUAAAGGGCACCGAGAGUUUAUCAUCUCCAAUUUCUUUUCAUUUCGGAGAAACUGCAUGCAAAGAAGAGAUAAUAGAUGAAAAGAGAAUGGAUGUGUAGGACACAUGUAUUAGCGACGAUCUUAAUAAUUGGUCAAGUUAUUCGUAAACAAAUUAAUUAAGAUUAGAAGUAUGAUCUAAACUUGCUGUAAACAAGUCAGGUCUAAGAACCUAUACAUGAAUAAACAAGACAUAUGGACUUUUGGCAAAACCCAACUUUUUAUUCUAAUUUCAAUUAUGGGCUUUUGGCAGAAUCAUCAACGAAAUACGAAUUGGCUUGAAAUUAUGAGAUGAUUGUAAAUAUAAGAUGUUAAAAGAAUUCACUCAUGUAUCUUAUAUGUAGUUUUGAUUUUCCUGCCGCAACAUCGAUUGUAUUUAAAAAUAAAUAAAAAUAAAAUGCAUGCACAAGAACGUGAUCCGAAUAAUCUUACAGGUUCAGCGAGGGGAGUCGUGAUGAACCAAGGUGCCACACUGUUGGUCCUUAUGUUAUCCUUCGCCCACUCACAUGCUAAGUUUUUUGCUAACUGAUUCAUUGCACCUGAGAUACAGUAAAGAAAAGCCACACUUUGGUCUAACAUUAAAAAUCACACACCAAAAACAGCGUAAUCAAAUUUUAGGUUAGUCUAAAAGUGAUAUAAACAAUAUAUGAUACUUUUAAAUUUUUUAAUCUGAUGUAAGGUGUUAGUCUAAAAGUGAUAUAUUUUUUUCAAAGAAUUGAAUGAAUUUUUAACUAAUUAUAAACAAUAUAUGAUACUUUUCAAUUUUUAAUAAAAGUCGGAAAUCUAUAUAAGGAUUAACUAUAAGCACCUUUAGUGGCAGAAUAUAUAGAUUCACCAUCUAUUGAGACCACACCAGCAGUAGAGGACAAAAAAACAAUGCUAGCAGCUCCUGCAGCUUUGAGAAGAGGAUGUGAAAGCUGGCAAAAGUUGUAAGCAGAUUCAAGAUUGGUACUCAUUAUGAAUGAGUAAUCUUCAGCUGUGUACUCUAGCGUUGCUUUCGUCAAGCUAGUCCCCACAUUGUUUAUCUAUAACAAGACAUUAUUGUAAAGGUUUAGCAUAACAUAACGAUUUUAGCUUAUAUGUAUUAUUGAAAAAUGCAUGAAAAUUAUGUGUAUUAAACGUAAAAAGUACAUAUAUACGUGUACACAUUUUUGAGUUUUAAAAAACUUACAAUCUUACAAAUUAUUGAAUUUUGAAAUGUGUACAACAGAGUUAUUUACGAGAGGAUGUUUAGUUUGUCUUGAAAGUGUGAUGAUGAUUCAUGAUUCAUCCACAUAUCUUAUUUCGUCCUGGUUUGGUACUGAGGUGAUUCUGAAAAAAGUAGAUAUCAAAAAAAGUUCCCAGCUUUUUUAUGUUUGGUAAACAUUCAGCUUCAACUUUUUUUCACAGUUUUGGGUGAAAAAAAACCAAAAACACAAAGCUGCAAAACCUAGCUUUGAAAAACCAGUUUUUUUUUCACAUCUGUUUUACAUAAAAGUUUAUCAAACACUAUAAUAUUGUUUUUUUUUUUAAAAGUACUUUUACAAAAAAGUUUACCAAACACUCUACUGCUUUAUUUUACAGUUGCUUAUUCUCACAGCAUAGCAGAAACAAUUUUUUUCAAAACACAACAAUACCAAACCAGCCCUUCAACUGAUCAAUCUUUACUUACAAGGAUGUUGAGUUUGCCAUCAAAAAGUGAUGAGACCUUGUUUAUAAGCUCCUCUCUUUGGGUUUUUGACACCACAUCACAGACUGAGCCUGUGACUUGAAAACCCUUCUUCUCCCACUGACUCUGGCAGUCAUUAAGGUCAACUUCUUUCGGGAACAAGUAUGCACAAUUGCACCCAGCCCUGCCAAUUCCUCCACUAUCGCAUACCUAAAUAAAACUUUACUAAUUUAACAUAGAGCAAUACAAAAUAAUUCAAACCCAUAAUUCUAAAACAGAAGAAAACAUGGGACAAGUGGAGAAAUAAAGAGAAUAUUGCAUUGGAUGUAUAGGAAAAUUGAAACUAAAAGAAGAUUAAUGUUCUUAAGUAUCCAAAUAUAGAAGCUAACCCAAUUCCUUUGGUUCCACCGGUGACAAGAGCUGUCAUUCCACGAAGAGACCAUCUCCUCUCUCUGCUAUUCAUCUCUAUCUGCUCUCUAAUCUAUCUUUAUGCAAAUACUUUGUGGUUUUUAUUAUAUUUCUUUUCGAUAGGAUAACUAUUGUAUAUUUUGGCGGCCAGGGAAAAGUACGCGUGCCAUCUAUUCAUUCAGCAACUUGCAACAUUUUGUUUGCUUGUUUUGGCGUGGCAAACUAUGCAAAUUGAUUGUCCAAUUUGAAUUUGACUAAAUUAUAUUUCAUCCAAUUUCAACAUCGUUCAAUGACUUUCUAUUUCAUACAACUUUCGAUUCAAUCGUUCAAUAGUUCAGUACGAAUUCUAAACUCGUAUUCUAUAAAGCUCGUUUUGAAAACUUGAUUCGUGACACUAAUGAAUUAUACACUAUAAAGAAUCAAAGUUUAAAGAACACUAUUUCAACAAACUUUUGGAACUAGAAAGCAAAGAUACUUUUGGAGCUAGAAAACAAAAGGAAGGUAUUACGGUUCGUCCUGAACGAGAUCGAUGUCUUUUUGGUUAAUUUUUCAGCAAAUAGACAUAUCAUUGAGAGUAUUGUUUAUAGGCAUACAAUUCUUCUUGCUCCACAUUUUUUAAGGUUAAAUUACAUUUUACCCCAUCAAGUAUGGUAUAAAUUACAACCUUAUACAACAUCUUUAAAACAUUUCAAUUUCAUACAUUUAAUUAUAUUUUAUUUUCAGUUUUAUACAUCCGUUAAAAUAUCUGUUAAGUCAACCGUUACAUGAUAAUGUGGUAAAUGAUGACAUGAUUCUCAACUUUGCACCAUGUGAAUAAGAAAAUAAUAAAAAAGGAUUAUUUAAUAAAAAAUCAAUUUAUAUUAUAAUUAAAAACAAACAAAAAUUGAAAAGGGCAUCUGGGCAAUCACCCUCUUCCUCCUCCAGCACCACCACCAACGCACCUACGAAACCCUAGCCGUAAAGAGAAACGCGCACAGCUUCCAUCUCUCUAUCGGCAUAGCCCCAUGUACGAUCAGCCAUGGGCAAAUUUCACGGAUCGUUCGCACAUGCCCUUAUCCAUUCACGCAAGGACCUGCAACCAGAUAUCGACCCGCUACUGAAACCCAGACCAUAAAUCUGAUUGAAGCCCAAACCACUGCCGCACCUGAUCGAUUCUGAACCACGAAUCUGUUCUGAACCACCGCUACGAUAUUAGACCCGAUGAACCACAAAGAGCUGCCAUUUGAUUGUCGCGAUGACCUCUGCCGCAAUCUGUUUGAACCACCGCACCGCGCCCAGACCCCUGCAUCCACAAGCCCGACCUGCUUGCCUCGAGCAGAUGUAACCAAAAAAGCCGGUACCCUUACCAUAUUUGUACUGCACCUGCAUCCACUAGCACCGUCUAGCGCCUGUAUCAAGCCAAAUCCUCAUUUAUUUUCUAUUUUCGUGGUGAAAGGGGGCUUCAAGCCCAGAUCCUAUUUCGUCAAUUUUAAAUGGAGUUGAAAUGAAAUUUUCAAAAUCUUUACAAUUUUUUAAAUUUGCAAAUCAAAGGAAUUCAUAAAAUGAACACAAUUUCAUCAAUUUGGAGCUUUUGAAGUUGUUAAGGGUUGAAGAGGAGGAGGAAAACGAGUUUGGAGAAAGAAAGGCGGCGAGGUUGCUCGAGAAGAUGUAGGGUGGGGUGGGGGGGGAGGUUGCGGGGGAGGUGGGGGGUGGGGCGGGAAGGGUGGGUUUGGGUUGCGGGGAAGGGGAAGGGGGGCGGUUGCGGGUGGUUUUUUUGGAUGGGAGGGUAGGUGAAGAGAGUCGAGGAGAGGAAGAAGGUAGGUGGGGAAGAUGGGUUUCAGUUUUUUUUUUAUUUUUUAAGUGUAAAUUAUUAUAUUUUAAAUGCAUAAAAAAUUAAUUUGUUUGUCAUGGCAUAAAUUUAGCAAUCAUGUCAGCAUAAAUGUAGAUCUCAUAUUUGUCACGUCAUCAUUUAAUUGUAUAUAUGAAAUUGAUAUAAAAUGAUAAGUAGAUGCAUGAAAUUAAAAUGUUUGUAAGAUAACAAUAUAUAUGAAAUUGAAAUAAAAUGAUAAGUAAAUGUAUGAAAUUAAAAUAUUUUAAAAAUAUUGUAAGAAGUUACAAUCGAUCUCAAACUUAAAGAGAUAAAAUGUAAUUUUUUUUUUUAAUGCAAUCUUGUUAAGGGUCACAGAAUGAGUUAAAUAUUCCCACGACUAUACGUAAGAAUCUCGGUCUGAUGGGAUGAAAAUAUGGCUCCCUUUGAAAGUAUUUUUUUUUUUUUUUUACAUUGCGUAGCAUGUUUGUCUUCCGCAAAACACUUCCAAGUAUCUUUUAAACCAAAAACAUUUUAAACUAUUUUUACUUAACAUUAUCAUGUCUCUGCAAUUGCUUUAGUUAUUUAAACAGCAUUUCGAAUUGGAAACAGGCUCUACAACAAGCUAGACAUAUGAAGUUCUGAGAAUAGUUGAUAAGCAAGUUGUCCAAACCAUAUUUAUGUAAUCUUUGGAGGGUUCAGUUUAAAGCAUUUUUCUGACAUCUAUCAUCUAAGUUCACCUCACCACUUAAAUUAAUUAUUUUUUAAUUUUUAAUUGAACGAAAAGUAAAAAAGGGGCAUAUUACAUGAAACGUAAUAAGAUUCCUAUCUAAUUUUUUUUCCAAGAACCAAAAAAAAAAUUACUUGUAUCGUUGAGCAUUGAUAGAGAUAUGCCGUCCAGUAAUCCAGAAAAUUAAUUUUAUGAUCAGCCAUGUAAGGAAAACGAUGAUGUGCAAUGCUUCUUGAGGAGUUUUGUUGCUUCUCAAUAAAAUCUAUUUAUUUGAAUUUCCUGCUUCUACUACUACCUAUUGCUUGAAGUUUGCAUAGAUUAUAGAAGCAUUUUUUAUUGUUCUAAUCAUACAUGUCGAUCAUUUCCAAUUAACUGGCGAUCUUGGUGGUGUUGUUUGGAGGAUGUCGCAAUCUUCUCUCCAUCCAGUUUGGGGGUUGUGUUUAGCCGAUCUCAGGCGUCUGUUGGGAACGAUGGUUUGAGAUGGUGGGUUGGUGGCGUUUUGGCAGUGGAGUAGCAAGUUGCUAGGAUUUGUUGCGGUUUUUUUGUGCUCAAACCUUUGUUUUGGGCCAUUUUUGCUUUUACUUUGAAGGUUGAGUUGAAUAUCAGAGUGCGCAACGAACAAGACUAACAAGAAUAAUAAGAAUAUUAUUAAACUAACUGAUAAUGCCGGAACGGCUACAAAACCCUAAGAGACUAAUAACUUGUUAUUUCUAUAGAGUUACAAAGUACCAUAUAUAUAGAAAAGUAAUCUAACCCUAAUAGACAAGAAAACGAAACCCUAAUUCUAACGGGCUAAGCCCAAAAUACCAAACAUUAAAAUAAAUCUAAAUAAUAAUAUUUUCCAAGACCCCCGUCAAACUCAUGGCGGUACACGACAUGAGUUUGCUAAAAUAGAUGUGGAUGCAAGACUUCAAAUUCCAGUGCUAAUGCCGAUGUCGAUGGCAAUGCUAAUGUCGAUGUCGAUGCCGAUUUCCAAUGCCAAAUUCCAAUACCAUGCCCAAUGCCAAGUUCCAAUACCAUACCCAAUGCAAGAAUACACGGGCAACAAAACCUCAAAACAACCAAAUUUUUUUUUCCUUCCUUCUCCCCCCCCCCCCUUUUUGUUUUCCUUCCUUCGUCCUUCCUUUUUUUUCUUAUGUGCGAACCAACCAGCAACAUCAGCCUUUCUUUUUUUUUUUUUUCACAGGUGUACGGUUGUGGACGGAUCCAGAUGCAAGGUGGGGCUGGGGAAUGCAGAAAUCCUAGUGCGAUGAAGCAUUUUCAAAUUUGGGUGUGAGACAAAUUCACCAAAUUCUUUUUUUUUUCAAAAACAGAAUUUUUUUUCCUUUCUUGAAGACUACCAAGGACAAACUGAAAACCAAACCAGAAAACGUAAAAAAUCUACGAAUGGAAACUGGAAAGAAAUAAAACUGAUACGAACAAACAGAAGUAGAUUAGAUCCCGAAGAAUCAAACAUGCUCUAAAACCAAGUUGAAUAUCAGAGUGCAACAAGACUAACAAGAAUAAUAGGAAUAUUAUUAAAUUAACUGAGAAUGCAGGAACGGCUACAAAACCUAAGAGACUACAUUGUGAAUAAUUUGUUAUUUCUAUAGUGUUACAAAAUACCAUAUAUAUAGAAAAGUAAUCUAACCCUAAUAGGCAAGGAAACGAAACCCUAAUACUAACGGGUUAAGCUCAAAAUAUCAAAUAUUAAAAUAAAUCUAAAUAAUAAUAUUUUCCAACCGGUUCAUAUUUGCGUUGUGUGCUUAUUGUAAUUGAAUUUCUUUCUUUGUAAUUUUGUUGUCUUGGUAAAAAUUUUACUCUAAAAAAAAUCGAGGCUUGAAAGCUCUUCCAAUAGAGCGCUACUAAAUGUCAAUAGACCAAAUGUUUGGCAAUCUUUUAUUUUCUUAUUUAAUUAGAACAUUAAUGAUGUCACCUAUUUGCACAUACAAUAAAAGCACACCACUUUGGAAUUAUUAAAUACGAGAUUUUUUUUUAGAACUGUUUCCAAGUUAUGCUCCUUGGAAGAGCAAGCCAUUGACGGUCACCCCGCCGUCGACGAUAAUAGUCUGCCCAGUAAUGUAAGAGGCUGCAGGUAGGCAUAGAAAUGCUACCAAGGAAGACACCUCCUCUGGCUCUCCAGGACGUCCUAAAGGGCACCGAGAGUUUAUCAUCUCCAAUUUCUUUUCAUUUCGGAGAAUCUGCAUGCAUAGAAGAGAUAAUGGAUGAAAAGAGAAUGGAUGUGUAGGACACAUAUAUUAGCGACCAUCUUAGUAAUUGGUCAAGCCCUUCGUAAACAAAUUAAUUAAGACUAGAAGUAUCAUCUAAACUUGCUGUAAACUUUUCACCCAGAAACUUGCUGUAAACAUGUCAGGUCUAAGAACCUAUACAUGAAUAAAAACAAAAGACAUAUGGACUUUUGGCAAAACCCAACUUUUUAUUCCAAUUUCGACUAUGGACUUUUAGCAGACUAAUAAAUGAAAUACGGAUUGGCCUGAAGUUAUGAGAUGAUUGUAAUAUGAUGUGUGAUAUUCACAUACUUUUUUUUACUUCUUACACAUCAUUUUAAUUUGCGACCGUCGAAUCGGAUAAAUUAAAAAAAGAUUAAAGAACAUAAAUCCAUAAGAGGUGUGUUGAUAGCACACCCCUUGUAAUAUAAGAAGUUCAAAGAAUUCACUCAUGUAUCUUAAAUGCGGUUUUGAUUUUCCUGCAGCAACAUCUGUUGUAUUUAAAAAAAGGAAAAUAAAAGGCAUGCACAAGAACGUGAUUAGAAUAAUCUUAC